rnacentral:rRNA from 1 species
GAUGAACGCUGGCGGCGUGCCUAAUACAUGCAAGUCGAGCGAACAGAUGAGGAGCUUGCUCCUCUGACGUUAGCGGCGGACGGGUGAGUAACACGUGGAUAACCUACCUAUAAGACUGGGAUAACUUCGGGAAACCGGAGCUAAUACCGGAUAAUAUAUUGAACCGCAUGGUUCAAUAGUGAAAGACGGUUUUGCUGUCACUUAUAGAUGGAUCCGCGCCGCAUUAGCUAGUUGGUAAGGUAACGGCUUACCAAGGCAACGAUGCGUAGCCGACCUGAGAGGGUGAUAGGCCACAUGGGAACUGAGACACGGUCCAGACUCCUACGGGAGGCAGCAGUAGGGAAUCUUCCGCAAUGGGCGAAAGCCUGACGGAGCAACGCCGCGUGAGUGAUGAAGGUCUUCGGAUCGUAAAACUCUGUUAUUAGGGAAGAACAAAUGUGUAAGUAACUAUGCACGUCUUGACGGUACCUAAUCAGAAAGCCACGGCUAACUACGUG